UGUGUGGUCCGGCGUCGGAGGGUUAUCGUAUAAUCCCUUCGGGGAACCUCCCUCCGGGGAACAUCUUCCCUUCGGCACAAAUUCGACUACCAU
rnacentral:sRNA from 1 species